rnacentral:tRNA from 1 species
UAGGGAUUAAGUUUCAUAAGGAGCUGCUAACUACCUUUAAAAGCGGUUAAAUUCCGUUUAUCCCUUA